UACGAAGGGGGCUAGCGUUGUUCGGAAUCACUGGGCGUAAAGGGCGCGUAGGCGGCUUGAUAAGUCGGGGGUGAAAGCCUGUGGCUCAACCACAGAAUUGCCUUCGAUACUGUCUGGCUCGAGACCGGAAGAGGUAAGUGGAACUGCGAGUGUAGAGGUGAAAUUCGUAGAUAUUCGCAAGAACACCAGUGGCGAAGGCGGCCUGCUGGGCCGAUCCUGACGCUGAGGCGCGAAGGCGUGGGGAGCGAACGGG
rnacentral:rRNA from 1 species